AUUGAACGCUGGCGGCAUGCCUUACACAUGCAAGUCGAACGGCAGCGGACCUUCGGGUGCCGGCGAGUGGCGAACGGGUGAGUAAUGCAUCGGAACGUACCUUUCAGUGGGGGAUAACGUAGCGAAAGUUACGCUAAUACCGCAUAUUCUGUGAGCAGGAAAGCAGGGGAUCGCAAGACCUUGCGCUGAUUGAGCGGCCGAUGUCAGAUUAGCUAGUUGGUGAGGUAAAGGCUCACCAAGGCGACGAUCUGUAGCGGGUCCGAGAGGAUGAUCCGCCACACUGGAAGUGAGACACGGUCCAGACUCCUACGGGAGGCAGCGGGGGGGAAUUUUGGACAAUGGGGGCAACCCUGAUCCAGCCAUGCCGCGGGAGUGAAGAAGGCCUUCGGGUUGUAAAGCGCUUCCGGCCGGGAAGAAAUCGCACGGGCUAAUACCCUGUGUGGAUGACGGUACCGGAAUAAGAAGCACCGGCUAACUACGUGCCAGCAGCCGCCGUAACAC
rnacentral:rRNA from 1 species